rnacentral:tRNA from 1 species
GCGCUCGUAGCUCAGCUGGAUAGAGUACCUGGCUACGAACCAGCGGUCGAAGGUUCGAAUCCUUCCGAGCGCG